rnacentral:rRNA from 1 species
UGGGGAAUCUUGGACAAUGGGGGCAACCCUGAUCCAGCCAUGCCGCGUGAGCGAUGAAGGCCUUAGGGUUGUAAAGCUCUUUCACCGGUGAAGAUAAUGACGGUAGCCGGAGAAGAAGCCCCGGCUAACUCCGUGCCAGCAGCCGCGGUAAUACGGAGGGGGCUAGCGUUGUUCGGAAUUACUGGGCGUAAAGCGCACGUAGGCGGACCAGAAAGUUGGGGGUGAAAUCCCGGGGGCUCAACCCCGGAACUGCCUCCAAAACUAUUGGUCUAGAGUUCGAGAGAGGUGAGUGGAAUUCCAAGUGUAGAGGUGAAAUUCGUAGAUAUUUGGAGGAACACCAGUGGCGAAGGCGGCUCACUGGCUCGAUACUGACGCUGAGGUGCGAAAGUGUGGGGAGCAAACAGGAUUAGAUACCCUGGUAGUCCACACCGUAAAACGAUGAAUGCCAGUCGUCGGGUAGCAUGCUAUUCGGUGACACACCUAACGGAUUAAGCAUUCC